UUAAGUUAAUAAGGGCGCACGGUGGAUGCCUUGGCACUAGGAGCCGAAGAAGGACGUGACAAACGACGAUAUGCCUUGGGUAGCUGUAAGUAAGCGAUGAUCCAGGGAUUUCCGAAUGGGGGAACCCAACAGGUACUACCUGUUACCCGCAUCUGUUAAGGAUGUGAGGAGGAAGACGCAGUGAACUGAAACAUCUAAGUAGCUGCAGGAAGAGAAAGCAAAAGCGAUUGCCUUAGUAGCGGCGAGCGAAACGGCAGGAGGGCAAACCGAAGAGUUUACUCUUCGGGGUUGUAGGACUGCAAUGUGGACUCAAAGAUUAUAGAAGAAUGAUUUGGGAAGAUCAGCCAAAGAGAGUAAUAGCCUCGUAUUUAAAAUAGUCUUUGUACCUAGCAGUAUCCUGAGUACGGCGGGACACGAGAAAUCCCGUCGGAAUCUGGGAGGACCAUCUCCCAACCCUAAAUACUCCCUAGUGACCGAUAGUGAACCAGUACCGUGAGGGAAAGGUGAAAAGCACCCCGGGAGGGGAGUGAAAUAGAACCUGAAACCGUGUGCCUACAACAAGUUCGAGCCCGUUAAUGGGUGAGAGCGUGCCUUUUGUAGAAUGAACCGGCGAGUUACGUUAUGAUGCGAGGUUAAGUUGAAGAGACGGAGCCGUAGGGAAACCGAGUCUGAAUAGGGCGCCUUAGUAUCAUGACGUAGACCCGAAACCAUGUGACCUACCCAUGAGCAGGUUGAAGGUGCGGUAAGACGCACUGGAGGACCGAACCAGGGCACGUUGAAAAGUGCUUGGAUGACUUGUGGGUAGCGGAGAAAUUCCAAACGAACUUGGAGAUAGCUGGUUCUCUCCGAAAUAGCUUUAGGGCUAGCGUCGACAUUAGAGAUUCUUGGAGGUAGAGCACUGUUUGGGUGAGGGGUCCAUCCCGGAUUACCAAUCUCAGAUAAACUCCGAAUGCCAAUGAAUUAUGGUCGGCAGUCAGACUGCGAGUGCUAAGAUCCGUAGUCGAAAGGGAAACAGCCCAGACCACCAGCUAAGGUCCCAAAAUAAUUGUUAAGUGGAAAAGGAUGUGGGGUUGCACAGACAACUAGGAUGUUAGCUUAGAAGCAGCUAUUCAUUCAAAGAGUGCGUAAUAGCUCACUAGUCGAGUGACCCUGCGCCGAAAAUGUACCGGGGCUAAAACAAUUUACCGAAGCUGUGGAUACCUUUAUAGGUAUGGUAGGAGAGCGUUCUAUGUGUGAAGAAGGUGUACCGUGAGGAGUGCUGGAACGCAUAGAAGUGAGAAUGCCGGUAUGAGUAGCGAAAGACAGGUGAGAAUCCUGUCCACCGUAAGACUAAGGUUUCCAGGGGAAGGCUCGUCCGCCCUGGGUUAGUCGGGACCUAAGGAGAGACCGAAAGGUGUAUCCGAUGGACAACAGGUUGAUAUUCCUGUACUAGAGUAUGUAGUGAUGGAGGGACGCAGUAGGCUAACUAAAGCAGACGAUUGGAAGAGUCUGUCUAAGCAGUGAGGUGUGAACUGAGUUAAAUGCUUAGUUCUAUAACAUUGAGCUGUGAUGGGGAGCGAAGUUUAGUAGCGAAGUUAGUGACGUCACACUGCCAAGAAAAGCUUCUAGCGUUUAAACAUACUCUACCCGUACCGCAAACCGACACAGGUAGUCGAGGCGAGUAGCCUCAGGUGAGCGAGAGAACUCUCGUUAAGGAACUCGGCAAAAUGACCCCGUAACUUCGGGAGAAGGGGUGCUGACUUUACGUCAGCCGCAGUGAAUAGGCCCAAGCAACUGUUUAUCAAAAACACAGCUCUCUGCUAAAUCGUAAGAUGAUGUAUAGGGGGUGACGCCUGCCCGGUGCUGGAAGGUUAAGAGGAGUGCUUAGCGUAAGCGAAGGUAUGAAUUGAAGCCCCAGUAAACGGCGGCCGUAACUAUAACGGUCCUAAGGUAGCGAAAUUCCUUGUCGGGUAAGUUCCGACCCGCACGAAAGGCGUAAUGAUUUGGGCACUGUCUCAACGAGAGACUCGGUGAAAUUUUAGUACCUGUGAAGAUGCAGGUUACCCGCGACAGGACGGAAAGACCCCAUGGAGCUUUACUGCAGUUUGAUAUUGAGUGUCUGUACCACAUGUACAGGAUAGGUAGGAGUCUAAGAGAUCGGGACGCCAGUUUCGAAGGAGACG
rnacentral:rRNA from 1 species